CUUCUCUCCUUUAUAACGUACGGCACGGUGGUGCCGGUGACUUUUUCAAACGUUUUUAUCAAUUCUAACACAGUCACGCCAUUGCCAGUGCCUAAAUUAUAAAUCUUAAGUCUGAGGUGCUGUUUGUGCAAAGCAUUUAACGCCGCCACAUGACCAGCUGCCAAAUCCAUAACGUGAAUGUAAUCGCGAACUCCUGAAAAAAUAUCAAGAUAAUCACCACCGAAUAUAAUCAACUCCGACUUUAGCCUCGAUGCAACUUGAGCGAUAUACGGCAUCAGAUUUGUGAACGGCUUCGUCGGAUCCUCUCCGAUCAAUCCCGAUCGGUGAGCACCAACCGGAUUGAAGUAUCUUAGAGAUAUAAUGUUCCAACUCUGUGUUAAACGAAACAGAUCUUCAAUUAAAAAAGAAAGGGUAUGUAUAAAAUCGAAUGCAAAUAACAUGUUAUUUCGUGAAAGAAAUAACCAAAAUAAAACCAAAAUAAAAAA
rnacentral:lncRNA from 13 species